UCUUUGUGUGGCAGUAGUGAGCUGACGUCAGGUCGGUUCCUUGAAGUGGAGCUGAAUAAACCUUGAGAAGAGUCUCCUUCAAUCUGCUGUUAGUAACUAACACACACACACACACACACACUCACUCAGUCACUCACUCACACACCGAGACUCAAUUACUGCCCAAUUCCCUUCUUUAUCACUCGUCCUCGACCUCUUUCAUAACCAAAAGCGACUAUAGAGGGGGGAAAAGAAGAAGACCGAGUCGAAGUGUUAGCAGAACUAAAAAAAAACCACGUUGGAAAUAAGUAAGAGUCGAAACUAAACAAAAUAAGGUGUUACAGCAGUUAUGACAAGGAGCUGAAGACAUCUCUAACAACAGACCCUGAGCAGUGGUCUUGGUCCUGACUCCCUCUGGGGCAGUGAGUGGGUGAGACACGGCUAUCAACAACAAGCCCAGGCAGCUUCGGUUUCAGCCUCACCAACAAGGAAUCUACCCGUCGUGACAGGCACAGAUACACACACACACACACACACACUCCAAACACAAGCAUACGUCCAUGUACAACCACAGCCGUUAUUCUUUACCCCGGCUUAGCUCCUCCUUAAAUGAUAUCAGGUAACAAAAACGGGAGGUGAUG